UACGAAGGUGGCAAGCGUUGUUCGGAUUUACUGGGCGUACAGGGAGCGUAGGCGGUUGGAUAAGCCCUCCGUGAAAUCUCCAGGCUUAACCUGGAAAGUGCAGAGGGGACUGUUCAGCUAGAGGAUGGGAGAGGAGCGCGGAAUUCCCGGUGUAGCGGUGAAAUGCGUAGAGAUCGGGAGGAAGGCCGGUGGCGAAGGCGGCGUUCUGGACUGCAACUGACGCUGAGGAACGAAAGCCAGGGGAGCAAACGGG
rnacentral:rRNA from 1 species